CGGCUAACUACGUGCCAGCAGCCGCGGUAAUACGUAGGUGGCAAGCGUUAUCCGGAAUUAUUGGGCGUAAAGCGCGCGCAGGUGGUUUCUUAAGUCUGAUGUGAAAGCCCACGGCUCAACCGUGGAGGGUCAUUGGAAACUGGGAGACUUGAGUGCAGAAGAGGAAAGUGGAAUUCCAUGUGUAGCGGUGAAAUGCGUAGAGAUAUGGAGGAACACCAGUGGCGAAGGCGACUUUCUGGUCUGUAACUGACACUGAGGCGCGAAAGCGUGGGGAGCAAACAGGAUUAGAUACCCUGGUAGUCCACGCCGUAAACGAUGAGUGCUAAGUGUUAGAGGGUUUCCGCCCUUUAGUGCUGAAGUUAACGCAUUAAGCACUCCGCCUGGGGAGUACGGCCGCAAGGCUGAAACUCAAAGGAAUUGACGGGGGCCCGCACAAGCGGUGGAGC
rnacentral:rRNA from 1 species